rnacentral:rRNA from 1 species
UGCCAGACUCCUACGGGAGGCAGCAGUGGGGAAUAUUGCACAAUGGGGGAAACCCUGAUGCAGCGACGCCGCGUGAGUGAAGAAGUAUUUCGGUAUGUAAAGCUCUCUCAGCAGGGAAGAAAAUGACGGUACCUGAUUAAGAAGCCCCGGCUAACUACGUGCCAGCAGCCGCGGUAAUACGUAGGGGGCAAGCGUUAUCCGGAAUCACUGGGUGUAAAGGGAGCGUAGACGGCUGUGCAAGCCUGAAGUGAAAGGCGGGGGCCCAACCCCUGGACUGCUUUGGGAACUGUACGGCUGGAGUGCAGGAGAGGUAAGUGGAAUUCCUAGUGUAGCGGUGAAAUGCGUAGAUAUUAGGAGGAACACCAGUGGCGAAGGCGGCUUACUGGACUGUAACUGACGUUGAGGCUCGAAAGCGUGGGGAGCAAACAGGAUUAGAUACCCGUGUAUG